ACUCAAAGGAAUUGACGGGGGUCCGCACAAGCGGUGGAACAUGUGGUUUAAUUCGACGUUACGCGAGGAACCUUACCUGGGUUUGACAUGCUUUUGACCGUCGUAGAAAUACGAUCUUUCAGGGUUACACUUGGACAAUUGCACAGGUGCUGCAUGGCUGUCGUCAGCUCGUGUCGUGAGAUGUUAGGUUAAGUCCUCUAACGAGCGCAACCCUUUCUGUCAGUUGCUACUUAUCGCGAGAUAAGGCACUCUGACGGGACUGCCUGGGAAACCAGGAGGCAGGUGGGGACGACGUCAAGUCAUCAUGGUCCUUAUGCCCAGGGCUACACACGUGUUACAAUGGCUGAUACAAAGAGUCGCAAAUUCGUAAGGGUAAGCUAAUCUCUCAAAAUCAGUCUAAGUUCGGAUUGAGGUCUGCAACUCGACCUCAUGAAGUUGAAAUCGCUAGUAAUCGUGUAUCAGCAACGGCACGGUGAAUACGUUCUCGGACCUUGUACACACCGCCCGU
rnacentral:rRNA from 1 species